UUAACCUAAACCUUUCUCUAAGUCUAACACCAUUAUUUAUAUUAUUUACUUAUAUCUGGCUUUAUCAAUUUUGUAGACACACACACACAUACGUAGGCGCACACAUACACACACACACGUGUACUUAAGGAUAGAAAAAUCAGGCAAAGUAUUGGAUGUAACAACAUAAAGAGCAUGAAGAUGAUGAAGACCACAUCUACAGAAGUGGGUAGAAGCCUUAUGCCCGCAUCGACUUCGAGAAGCAUUGCCUAACGGUAGUACCACGGGGAUCAAUGGCACAAAAAAUAUAACUAAACAAGCCUUUACUAAAGGCUGAUAAAGGCAAACGAGGGCGUUCUGUUCUUUGGUGAGGUAACCUUACUUGAGUGCGAAAGAGUUUAGUCGGUGAGAGACCGACACAUGGUGGACAAAUGUCUAAUGGGAUAGGGCUGAUUUGAUGAUUCUGUUUGCUAAGAUUUGCUAUGGUCUUUCUAACAUUUGCCAUGAUACCUCUUUCUCCGUUAGAAAAAAUACACACAUACACUAGCUUUACCUUUUUAGUACUAAUUAUUCAACUAAUAUUUCUAUAUCUGAAUUGAUUUCAAUCUUUUCUUGUCUUAGAUAUUACUACCCUGGAAGAAACGUUUGCAAACCAUUUAACAACAGUGCAACAAUAUCGAAUUUAGCGAACACUUUAGCCAACCGUUUGCCAAUGAAGCCACUUAUUUCAUCACGCUUUGUCGUAGGCCAAGGAAUGCUCUGAAUUUUAAAACAGGUCAAAGCACAUGCAAGCUACAUAAAAUGUUUUCACUUGUCGAUUAUAGGGUUCAGGAUGUGUGCUCCAUAGUUUUUACUAUGGAUAUGUGAACAAUGCAAUCUCGUCCUCGCGACCGGUUACGGCUCUCCAGGAAUAGAGGUUGGCUGCUGUAGCUCUGGAGGCGUCCCUCCACCAAAAUGACAUAUCAAAAAAAUGACACCUUUUGAGAUCAUUUGAGACAAAAUAUCUCAUGAAAGUUUAAAGAUGAUUAUAAGAUCGAUUUUUCGAGACGCUUUUGAGCAAUUUUGAGUAUAGCAUUUCAGAAACUUGGGAGAUGAAAUUGAGCUGAAUUCAAUAUUAUCAACGUCAACAGCAACAAGGAGUUCUAGAAUUUUUACAGAGCAAAUAAAGAUUGUUACAGUUAUUACACGCAGAACCAGAUUCACCAUUACAGACACAUACUCGUACAAAAUAUUUUACUAUCCCUAUUUUUUCCGAUGAAUUACAUGCAUAUUUUAAACAAGUA